GAGAGAGCGAGACAGUAGAGUGAGAGAGACAGUAGAGAGAGACAGUAGAGAGAGAGAACCAGUAGAGAGAGAGACAGUUGAGACAGUAGAGAGAGACAGUAGAGAGAGAGAGACAGUAGAGAGAGAGAGACAGUAGAGAGAGAGAGAGAGAGACAGACAGUAGAGAGAGAGAGAGACAGUAGAGGGAGACAGUAGAGAGAGAGAGAGAGAGACAGUAGAGAGAGAGAGAAGAGACAGAGAGAGAGUCAGUAGAGAG
rnacentral:lncRNA from 1 species